CGAAGGUGGGGCUGAUGACUGGGGUGAAGUCGUAACAAGGUAGCCGUACCGGAAGGUGCGGCUGGAUCACCUCCUAACAGGGAGACAAAACUGAUCGUGAUGUCUGAGAUAUUUAAUACUUAGACCACGAUCCUGUCACCUUAAGGUCGAUCGGUACCUCAAUUUGAGAGCCAAAUAAGAAGUUGAAAAUCAACUUUUAGAUUGGUAAUUAAUUUUAGUUCCUAAACUUGUCUAGGUCACACUCAGCAAGGGUUCUCCUGGGCCAUUAGCUCAGGUGGUUAGAGCGCACCCCUGAUAAGGGUGAGGCCCCUGGUUCAAGUCCAGGAUGGCCCAUUCGGUGUUGGGGGUAUAGCUCAGUUGGUAGAGCGCCUGCUUUGCAAGCAGGAUGUCAGCGGUUCGAGUCCGCUUACCUCCACUGAUCAUCCUCCUAAUUGCCAGUUAUAAGGAUUAUCUAUUGUUUAUGUGGUCUAGAAUUGUUCAUCUGAAGAACCUAGCUUCCUGUCAUUCCUAGAUCUGAAAAGAUUAGGUUGAAAGGACGCUGGGCUCAUUACAUAUCUAAUGAAAUGUAAUUGAAGUUCAGUAGAACCUUGACAACUGCAUAGGUAAGUCUGUAAAGAAUAAAGCAUCUCAUGGAUGCAUUUUUCUUUUUUAAUCAAAAUUAAAUAUCAUGAAAGUGAUUUAGUUUUGAUUAAAAAGAAUAAUGAUUGAUUCUUGAUCAAGAGCUUAAUUUCUAUAACCUUAUUUAAUUAAUUAUUUGAUUAAAUAACCAUAAUCUGUUUUAACAUAUUAUGGGAUAGUUAUAGAAAAUAAUGGUCAAGCUACAA
rnacentral:misc_RNA from 1 species